CUGGGCCUAUUUUUGAAAUUACCAAAAAUUUCCAAAAACUGCAAACGUGCAAAAACCGAAUUUUUCCAUCAUUUCGAACUGUUUUGGCAACUCCUGAACUCAGCCUUGCGUUUUAGCUGACUCUCAAUUAUUUUGUUUGAUUCUUGACAAAUGAAGUCGAGCAUGAUUAAUUAAUAAGAUGAGAGCGUCAAUAAUCAAAUAAAAUCAUUGAGAGCCGGCUAAAACACAAGGCUGAGCUCAGGAGUUGCCAAAACAGUUCGAAAUGAUGGAAAAAUUAGAUUUUUGGACGUUCGCAGUCUUUGGAAACUUUUGGCAUUUUUUUUUAGAAAUUUUGGAAAAAAUUUCCAAAAAAAAUCCAAAA